rnacentral:rRNA from 1 species
UGCCAGCAGCCGCGGUAAUACGGGGGGUGCAAGCGUUAAUCGGAAUUACUGGGCGUAAAGGGUACGUAGGCGGUAAACUAAGUUGAAAGUGAAAUCCCAAAGCUUAACUUUGGAAUGGCUUUCAAAACUGGUUAACUUGAGUUCGAUAGAGGAUAGUGGAAUUUCUAGUGUAGAGAUAAAAUUCAUAAAUAUUAGAAGGAACACCAGUGGCGAAGGCGACUAUCUGGAUCGAUACUGACGCUGAGGUACGAAAGCAUGGGGAGCAAACGGGAUUAGAUA